rnacentral:rRNA from 1 species
UACAGAGGUCUCAAGCGUUGUUCGGAUUCAUUGGGCGUAAAGGGUGCGUAGGUGGCGCCGUAAGUCAGGUGUGAAAUUUCGGAGCUUAACUCCGAAACUGCAUUUGAUACUGCGGUGCUUGAGGACUGGAGAGGAGACUGAAAUUCAUGGUGUAGCAGUGAAAUGCGUAGAGAUCAUGAGGAAGACCAGUGGCGAAGGCGGGUCUCUGGACAGUUCCUGACACUGAGGCACGAAGGCCAGGGGAGCAAACGGG